AACAAACGCUGGCGGCGUGCCUAAUACAUGCAAGUCGAACGGGGAAAGCCUUCGGGUGAGUACUAGUGGCGCACGGGUGAGUAACGCGUGGAUAAUCUGCCUUGGAGAGGGGGAUAACCAGUCGAAAGAUUGGCUAAUACCGCAUAAGACCACAGGAACUGAGGUUCUAGAGGUCCAAGGUUUUUCGCUUCAAGAUGAGUCCGCGUAAGAUUAGCUAGUUGGUGAGGUAACGGCUCACCAAGGCGACGAUCUUUAACUGGUCUGAGAGGAUGAUCAGUCACACUGGAACUGAGACACGGUCCAGACUCCUACGGGAGGCAGCAGUAGGGAAUAUUGCACAAUGGAGGAAACUCUGAUGCAGCGACGCCGCGUGAGUGAUGAAGGCCUUCGGGUCGUAAAGCUCUGUCGCAGGGGAAUAACACAAUGAAGGUACCCUGUAAGAAAGGAUCGGCUAACUUCGUGCCAGCCGCCGCGGUAACAC
rnacentral:rRNA from 1 species